UUAACUCAAAUUUGUAUGGAGCUGAAACGUUUGCCUACGUUUGCCGCUAGGGGCGCUGUACUCUAUACAAAUUUGAGUUA
rnacentral:pre_miRNA from 1 species